rnacentral:misc_RNA from 1 species
GGACUACCCGGGUUUCUAAUCCCGUUUGCUCCCCUAGCUUUCGCGCCUCAGCGUCAGUGUCUGUCCAGCAAGCCGCCUUCGCCUCAGAUGUUCCUUCUGAUAUCUACGCAUUUCACCGCUACACCAGAAAUUCCGCUUGCCUCUCCAGCACUCCAGUCCCAUGGUUUUCCAGGCACUUCCCCGGUUGAGCCGGGGGCUUUCACCCGAAACUUCUGAGACCGCCUACGCGCCCUUUACGCCCAGUAAAUCCGAACAACGCUCGCCCCCCCCGUAUUACCGCGGCUGCUGGCAC